rnacentral:rRNA from 1 species
GACGAACGCUGGCGGCAUGCCUAAUACAUGCAAGUCGAGCGAACAGAUGAAGUGCUUGCACUUCUGACGUUAGCGGCGAACGGGUGAGUAACACGUAAGGAAUCUACCUAUAAGCGGGGGAUAACAUUCGGAAACGGGUGCUAAUACCGCAUAAUAUCUUCUUCCGCAUGGAAGAAGAUUGAAAGACGGCUCUGCUGUCACUUAUAGAUGACCUUGCGGUGCAUUAGUUAGUUGGUGGGGUAAUGGCCUACCAAGACGAUGAUGCAUAGCCGACCUGGGAGGGUGAUCGGCCACAUUGGGACUGAGACACGGCCCAAACUCCUACGGGAGGCAGCAGUAGGGAAUCUUCCGCAAUGGGCGAAAGCCUGACGGAGCAAUGCCGCGCGAGUGAAGAAGGCCUUCGGGUCGUAAAACUCUGUUAUAAGAGAAGAACAAAUUGUAGAGUAACUGCUACAGUCUUGACGGUAUCUUAUCAGAAAGCCACGGCUAACUACGUGCCAGCAGCCGCAGUAA